rnacentral:rRNA from 1 species
CCUACGGGUGGCAGCAGUGAGGAAUAUUGGUCAAUGGGCGAGAGCCUGAACCAGCCAAGUAGCGUGAAGGAUGACUGCCCUACGGGUUGUAAACUUCUUUUAUAUGGGAAUAAAAUGUUCCACGUGUGGCUUUUUGUAUGUACUUUAUGAAUAAGGAUCGGCUAACUCCGUGCCAGCAGCCGCGGUAAUACGGAGGAUCCGAGCGUUAUCCGGAUUUAUUGGGUUUAAAGGGAGCGUAGAUGGGUUGUUAAGUCAGUUGUGAAAGUUUGCGGCUCAACCGUAAAAUUGCAAUUGAUACUGGCAGUCUUGAGUACAGUAGAGGUAGGCGGAAUUCGUGGUGUAGCGGUGAAAUGCUUAGAUAUCACGAAGAACUCCGAUUGCGAAGGCAGCUUACUAAACUGCAACUGACACUGAUGCUCGAAAGUGUGGGUAUCAAACAGGAUUAGAUACCCUGGUAGUC